UUCAGCUGAAAAUUCAGAUUGUUGUUAACAUUUUUCUAUACUAUUUAUAACUACUUUCUUGUUUUAUUUGUUAAGUUGCUCUGGAUACAUUUGUUUUUACAGUAAGUUUCUUCAAUAAAAGAAUUGACUACACAAGUUUUAAGAUGAAGAUAAAAAAUAAAGGCUGUUGCUGUAUAAACCGAUUUAGCACUGUAAGUCUAACAAAUGUUAAAUCAUAUUUUUAACUUUCCUUAACACUAAUGUAACAGGAGUUGUACUGUUUAGAAUUUGUUCUUCAAAUAGGCUAACAGGAGUUUGUUGUGGUUUAACCCAGCAGGUGGCCCAGCACCGCAGUCAUUUGCUCACUUUUGAGAACGAUGGAUAUGUAUGCUUGUAUCUGAAGCUGAAUUUCUGUUCCAGUAAAUUCUGAUCUGCAGAGGUAUCUACUUCCCAUUGAAACUGAUCAGAGCUGCCAGUGACCAGAGACUCUGUAGCUCAGGCCCUCCGGUU
rnacentral:lncRNA from 1 species